rnacentral:miRNA from 1 species
AUGGGGGCCUCGGUCAAGCGG